rnacentral:rRNA from 1 species
UACGGUGAAUACGUUCCCGGACCUUGUACACACCGCCCGUCAAGCCAUGGAAGCUGGGUGUACCUAAAGUCGGUAACCGUAAGGAGCCGCCUAGGGUAAAACUGGUGACUGGGGCU